rnacentral:lncRNA from 1 species
GUAGAUGUCUUUGAAGUGGGCUUGUUUGGUAGAUAAUAAGAUGGUCUCAGAUAAUAGACCUGAAAGGGUCUUAAAUACUAAGCCACCAACAGAAGAUGCAUAAGCUAUAUUUACCAGGCUUUACUAAGACAGAUAUUUAAGUGUCACGGGUCUCUGUACCUUCUUCCCAUUUGUUUUCCCAAAGCUUUGGUAAACAUCUGCCUUGUCCCUGCUGGGUAAAGCCACUGUGAACCAUAUGAGAAUGCCUGGAUGUGGUGAUGAGCAUCUGCCCUGGUGGCCAAACGUGGAUAAUCUUCUAUUGUUGAAAAGAAGUGGCGAUUUCCUCAUAAUACUUUGCAAUAACAACCUAGAGCCUAAUGCUUUAUCCCUCUGAAAAAAUCCCAAUAAUUGCCUAUAUAUCUGUGAUCCAUUAGUUUAUCCAGUCCAUUGGUAAAGCUAUUUAUAAUUUCCAUUUCUACUGUCUCUGCCUCCUAGGAUAACACAUCCAUAAUUUUACUAUUUCUUAAAGCAGGACUACAUUUAUUUGUCCUCAGUUUGCUUUUUCAAGCUUCAAGGGAUACUCCCUUACCCUAGGAUGACAAAAUUUAGUGGAUAAAUAUUUGGUGAGUUCUUUUUGAUCUAUAUAAAACAAGUGUGUGUACACAUAUAUACAUAAGUAUAUAUGCACAUAUAUAUCCUCAACAUAACAUUUUCAUAUUGAAUUGUACAUUGUUGUGGUUGUAGUUUAAGCUUUUUAAAUAUAGUAUUCCUCACCUCAUUCUCAACCCCCUUAUCUUUAACAUUUUAUAUUGUCCUACUCUUUAACCUGAUAUAGUCAGAUACACUGAAUUCUAAGACCAUCAAAAUGUAUUUGAAAUAAAUUUGUUUGAAAACAUUCCUGUAAUAAAUAAGCUUAGUUAUCAGAAAUACUCUGAACAUCAACAUGUAACAAUAAUUUUCAUUAGAUUUUUCUUUCUUUAAAAUGUGAAAGAGAAAUAUAUCUUAUCCAUAUCUGUGAUGACUGCAACAACAAUAGAAAUGGUAGCUUAAAUUCCAUAUUUAUAGGGACAUAUGAAUAUUCUUGUAUUAGUCACAUGAUUUAUGAAUAGUAUAUUCUGUUGGGGUUAAAAGAAUGUGGAGCCUAAAGGCACAAUUACAUUUUAAUUCUAAUUUCUUUCAAGGGGUUUUCAUUUACAUUACAAGUUUGUCAUCUGCGGAGACAAGGCAGCUCUUGUCUGGGAAGUGUCUGGUUUUAAUUUGGUAUGUUAUAAACUGUAAGGCAAGGUGGGAAUGGAUAGAAAACUGGAUCAGGAAUUGUUAAAACCUGUGGUGAGUAGCAUUAUGCCGUGGCCGGGCUUUGCAGCCCCAAAUCAGCUUUGAUCUGGGCUCUGCCAUUUGACAAACAAUUCACUGUACUUGGGCAAAUCACAUCCCCUCUCUAAACCUUAAGCAACCUUAUUUGUGAAUUGAGGGCUGUGGGGAGAGUUCAGGGAGAGUAGCCAGAGAAGCACUUGCAUGACCAGCGUGCACAGCGGGUUCUCUUCUCAGUGACAAUUGUCCUGGCUCUACCACGAGCUCUGAGAUGCCACGUUAGUCACAACCUGUAAAGGCGUCAAUUUCUUUAUUUGCUAAAAGGUUAGUUUGCGGAAAUUCUAAAUUCCCUUUUAAUAUUGCAUUUUAUACUCAUACCUGAAAGGGACUUGUGUUCACCAUAGCCGUCUCCUCUUGUUUCAGUUUAGCCAUUCUCCACUAAGUCCUCCAUGGCCACCACGCAGCCACACCUUCAGACACCAAGACAAGUCCUCCUUCUCCGUGUCCCACAGUGCCUUGUCUCCUGAGAUGACAAGCUCCUUGGCACCAGAGAUGGUAUCUUUCUCAUCUUUGCCUCCUCGGAGAUACAGUACACUAUACACUGUACAGUGCAUAGUACACAGGAGAAGAGGCACAAGAAUGUGGAAUAUGUGACCCAUGUACAUGAAGAUAUUCCUGGUUCACUCAAAAGUACGAUUUUGAGAAGCCCACCUAGAGUCAGAAGGCCCUUGAAAGAUGCAGACCCUCAACUUUGGACUUCCCAGCCUCUAGAACUGUAAGAAAUAAAUCUCUGUUCUUUGCAAAUUACUUGAUCUCAGGUAUUCUGUUAAGAUAGGUGGUAUUGUCCAGCAUCUCCUUAAUAUGCAACCCAUGGGCUUCCUCACACUGUUGGGUCUCUGGGGCAGAAUCCUCAAUGAGCCAUUUGGAUUAAAAAGCCCUGGAGUAUAGCCUGGCUUGCGAUCUGAUAAUGUAGAUAAUUUCUCAUGGAAAUUUUGGUAGAGACUAAAUCCCCAGAAGUGCUUAAGUUGAGAAAGAAGGUGUUUGAUAUCCAAGGUGCAUUUAAACAAAAGACCCAAGCCUAAUGUGGAAGGUGUUCUUUCCCUCAUUGGAGUCCAGGGGACACCCUGCAGACAUAAUGUAAUUACACAGACAUGCAUCCUUUACCAUGUUGCAGACCCACCUCUGAUAUUGGUAAAGCAAUAAUGCUGAUAUCAGGAAGAGCAGUAAGGCUUUCUCAGCUGAUACAGCAAUUUAAGGUUUGCACUCCAUAUCUGACACUGCCAUAAGUACUAGAAAUACAAAGAUGAGUACAAUAGUUUUGUGUUCCAGGAGGUCAUAUCUCCUGGGGGAGAUAAACAUAGAAUACAAUAUAGGAUGUAUUGGAUAAAAAGUAAAAGAAUAAUGAUUGAAGUAAAUAAGAAUAAAGUGCAGCAGUGAUCAUGGAUGGGUACAGAGGGGAUCAGGAAAAAAAUUAUAAAGGAAGACAUGCUUGAUGUAGAUCUUGAAAGAUGAGUAGAGAUUUUUCCAAACACCUGAAAAAGAAGAGCCACAAGGAAACACAGCAUGUUUGGAAAAGUCUGAGGAAUUCUGUGUUGCUGGAGCAUAAGCUUAAUAGUCCAAGAAGCGAGAAGGAGAGGCCCUCUGGGGAUAAGGGGAAGCAACCAGAAUUGGAAAGCCUGGCAGGCUGUGCCAAGGCAUUUGUACUUUAUCUUACAUGUGAUGGAGAGCCAUUCAAGCCUUUUGAGCAGGGGGAAAAGAUUAUUAUAUUUGCAUUUUAAAAGUUGAUGGUGGUGUGGUGUGUGAAAAAUGAAGUGGAAACAAGCAAAACUAGCAUCAGGGAGGCCAACUGGGAAACUAAACACAGUGACCCAUUUCAGUGAUAAGGAGGCCUGUUUGUGGGGUGGAACUGAGAAGAUAAAUUAUGAAAGACCUCAAGGAAGCAUAUCAUCAAUUUUCAGGAUAUGAGAGACCACUGCAACAAAUAAUACUUUGAAUGGAAUGCACGAGUGUAGUCGGGGGGAGGGAGUUGGAAGCCAGUGGACAGAGGAAGAACUACAAAGUUAACUCAGGAAAUUUGAUUCGGCUUUCACACUUUCCACUCUGUCCACAGCUGCUCCUCUGCUUCCCUUCCCUCCCAGCUGCUCUGCCAAGGUAUCAGUCCUCAUUAUCUACUGCCUCCCUGAAGCAUCUGACACCAUGAAAAUCUCCCUGCUGGAAAUAUUUUCUCUCCUUAGCAGCCAUGACACCACACUCUAUUGGUUUCUUUCCCUUUUAUUUGGGUGCUGCUUAUGAUUUUUUAUUAGCUCAUUUUUCUCUGCCUAGUUCCUUCAGAUUUAUCCUAGACCUCUUUCUCUACUUACAUAUUUACCAUGCAAUCCCAUUCAUUUCCAUGUCUCUAAUAUCCAUGUUCAUGCCAGGGACCUCAAAAUAUGUAUUCCCAGGAAAGAUCUGUCUUCAGAAUCUUAUUUCUAUAUGUGAGACUACCUACUUGAUCUUCUCUUUUGAUAUCCCAUAGGUACCUCAACUAAACAUAGCAAAAACCUCAAAAUGAUUAUCACCACCUCUGUCUAGCUCACACUUGUUCCUUUCCCUCUCUUUCUCAUGGGUGUAAGACACAUUCUUUACCACAUAUCUGGAAACCAUCCUUGACUCAUCGUUGUGCCUUAGCAACCACAUCUGAUCAAUCACAAAGUCCUCUUCAUUCUACUUAUGAAUUGCCUCCAAAAUCCAUCUAUUUUCUCUCCAUUCUUACUGCUGCUAUUACAGGACAGGUCAUUGCUGUCUAAAAUCCUAUAUGACUGCACCUGAUCUCUUUGACUACCAUCCUGUGAUAGAUUACCUAUAGACUCUCUUACAUGCUGGUUCUUCUUCCUGAAACGUUAUUAUUACACCUUCUCCCACCAACUUUGAUAUUUCCAACUACUAUUCAUUCCCCUAGUUUUAGCUCAUUCAUUACUUUUUGCUAGGAACCUUUCUCGACCCUCUCCUCCCUACUUAGUUGUCACUCAAAUGAGUUCCCACAAUACUCUGUUUAAAAAGUUUUACUCUCUUGCUAUGCUUACAUCAUAAAGAUGGCCUAUCUCAUUCCUUGCUGUAUCGCCAGUGCCUAACACAGUGACUCCAUGCUUAAUAAAUAUUUAUGGAAUGAACACAUAAAUAUAUUCAAGUAAUUUUAUUGAAAUAUAACAUGCAUAAAGAAAAGAGCAUAGAGAAGCACACGUCCCAACAAAUGAAAUAUCACAAAGUAAACUCAUGGGUGUAAACCAAUUCAAAGAUAGAACACCCCAGAAGCCCUUCGUAUAACCAACCCCAAUUAUUAACCGCCUCCUCUUUUCCAAAGGUCAUUUUUACUCUGUCUAUCAUAAUAGCUGAGUUUUGCCUGUCUUUGAAAUCAAUAUAAAUAUAAAUAUACUCUUUUGCAUAUGGUCUUCUCACUAAAUGUUUGUGAGAUUGAUCCAUGUUAUUGCAUAUAACAGUUCUUUCAUUUUCAUUGCUAUCUUGGUUUAUCACUGCAUGAAUAUGCCAUAAUUUACCAAAAUUUGUUCAUUCCACUUUUAAAUAUCAAUAAAGUUGUUUUCGAUGUGAGACUAUUAUAUAUAAUAUUGCUAUGAACAUUUAUUUAUAUGCUGUUUAUA